GACAGUAAAAGGGAGCUCCCUUCAGUCCAAGCACAGAGAAGAAAAGAAUGAAGUUAUCUCCCGCAUCAUUCACACAUUCACAGUAGAAAUAUCCACUCCAUUUCUACUGAGUUUGAAUGAAUGAGUCGGCAGCUAAUUCAAACCCUUUGCCCUUCCAUGAGUGGACUGAAGAAAGCUCACUUAAACUAUCUC
rnacentral:pre_miRNA from 1 species